rnacentral:rRNA from 1 species
CCUACGGGGGGCUGCAGUGAGGAAUAUUGGUCAAUGGACGCAAGUCUGAACCAGCCAUGCCGCGUGCAGGAAGACGGCUCUAUGAGUUGUAAACUGCUUUUGUACGAGGGUAAACGCAGAUACGCGUAUCUGUCUGAAAGUAUCGUACGAAUAAGGAUCGGCUAACUCCGUGCCAGCAGCCGCGGUAAUACGGAGGAUUCAAGCGUUAUCCGGAUUUAUUGGGUUUAAAGGGUGCGUAGGCGGUCGGAUAAGUUAGAGGUGAAAGCCCGAGGCUCAACUUCGGAAUUGCAGCUGAUACUGUUCGGCUAGAGAGUAGUUGCGGUAGGCGGAAUGUAUGGUGUAGCGGUGAAAUGCUUAGAGAUCAUACAGAACACCGAUUGCGAAGGCAGCUUACCAAGCUACUUCUGACGUUGAGGCACGAAAGCGUGGGGAGCAAACAGGAUUAGAUACCCUUGUAGUC